rnacentral:rRNA from 1 species
AACGAACGCUGGCGGCAGGCCUAACACAUGCAAGUCGAGCGCGUCCCUUCGGGGGCGAGCGGCGCACGGGUGAGUAACGCGUGGGAACCUACCCUGGGGUAAGGGAUAACCGCUGGAAACGGCGGCUAAUACCCUAUACGUCCUGAGGGAGAAAGAUUUAUCGCCCUGGGAUGGGCCCGCGUCGGAUUAGCUAGUUGGUGGGGUAACGGCUCACCAAGGCGACGAUCCGUAGCUGGUCUGAGAGGAUGAUCGGCCACACUGGGACUGAGACACGGCCCAGACUCCUACGGGAGGCAGCAGUGGGGAAUAUUGGACAAUGGGCGCAAGCCUGAUCCAGCCAUGCCGCGUGAGUGAAGAAGGCCCUAGGGUUGUAAAGCUCUUUCACCCGCGAAGAUGAUGACGGUAGCGGGAGAAGAAGCCCCGGCUAACUCCGUGCCAGCAGCCGCGGUAAUACGGAGGGGGCUAGCGUUGUUCGGAUUUACUGGGCGUAAAGGGCGCGUAGGCGGAUGUUCGCGUCAGAGGUGAAAGCCCCGGGCUCAACCUGGGAACUGCCUUUGAAACGGGACAUCUUGAGUUCGGGAGAGGGUAGCGGAAUUCCCAGUGUAGAGGUGAAAUUCGUAGAUAUUGGGAAGAACACCGGUGGCGAAGGCGGCUACCUGGCCCGAUACUGACGCUGAGGCGCGAAAGCGUGGGGAGCAAACAGGAUUAGAUACCCCUGGUAGUCCACGCCGUAAACGAUGUGCGCUAGCCGUCGGGGUGCUUGGCACUUCGGUGGCGCAGUUAACGCAUUAAGCGCACCGCCUGGGGACUACGGCCGCAAGGCUAA